AUAAGCGGAGGAAAAGAAACUAACAAGGAUCCCCUAGUAACUGCGAGUGAAGCGGGAAAAGCUCAAAUUUAAAAUCUGAGGGUCCUUGUGGCCUUCCGAGUUGUAAUCUAGAGAAGUGCUAUCCGCGCUGGACCGUGUACAAGUCUCCUGGAACGGAGCGUCAUAGAGGGUGAGAAUCCCGUCUUUGACACGGACUACCAGGGCUUUGUGAUGCGCUCUCAAAGAGUCGAGUUGUUUGGGAAUGCAGCUCUAAAUGGGUGGUAAAUUCCAUCUAAAGCUAAAUAUUGGCGAGAGACCGAUAGCGAACAAGUACCGUGAGGGAAAGAUGAAAAGAACUUUGGAAAGAGAGUUAAACAGUACGUGAAAUUGUUGAAAGGGAAACGCUUGAAGUCAGUCGCGUUGGCCAGGAAUCAACCUUGCUUUUGCUUGGCGUACUUUCUGGUUAACGGGUCAGCAUCAAUUUUGACCGGUGGAUAAAGGUUAGGGGAAUGUGGCAUCCUCGGAUGUGUUAUAGCCUCUGGUCGCAUACAUCGGUUGGGAUUGAGGAACUCAGCACGCCGCAAGGCCGGGUUUUAACCACGUACGUGCUUAGGAUGCUGGCAUAAUGGCUUUAAUCGACCCGUCUUGAAACACGGACCAAGGAGUCUAACAUGCACGCGAGUGUUUGGGUGGAAAACCCGAGCGCGUAAUGAAAGUGAAAAUUGAGAUCCCUGUCGCGGGGAGCAUCGAUGCCUGGACUUGAUCUUUUGUGACGGUUCCACGGUUGAGCGUGUAUGCUGGGACCCGAAAGAUGGUGAACUAUGCCUGAAUAGGGUGAAGCCAGAGGAAACUCUGGUGGAGGCUCGUAGCGAUUCUGACGUGCAAAUCGAUCGUCAAAUUUGGGUAUAGGGGCGAAAGACUAAUCGAACCAUCUAGUAGCUGGUUCCCUGCCGA
rnacentral:rRNA from 1 species